CUGUGUUUUUUGUGGACACAGGUAUAUCUGCAUGUGUAUACUCAGCCUGGAAAAGACAUAAAGGGCUUCUAAUAGAUGAAUAUAGGGAAGGCAGAUGGCCUCUGUCCUAGAAACUUAAUCAGCAAGCCACAGAGGCUGUUUUCGGAACUCCCUGUGGGGUUUGGCUCAGCUAAGCGAACUCGGGAGCCAAGUUUGGCAGUAGAGGAUGAAGAGAACUAAAUUGCUCCACCUAAGAAAUGAGAGGAAUUUGGAUUUUAUCCCUAAGAGAGACAUGGAGGAGACGGGGAAAGGCUUUCUGAAUAAUAUGAACCAAAGCUCCAUCCAUCAAUCCUGCUGUGCCCCAUGAAGACUUUAACCCUUAGAAUAAGAAUUGCCUGCCCCAUUUCUACAAAAUGAGUGUGUUCUUUGAGCAGAAGAGGAGAGAAGAGAAGAAAUGGAACAAUCUUUGCUUUGGAAAUUUAGCUGACUGGCCUCAUUUGGAAUAAGAGCGCCUUCAAUCCCUGGCCGCAGGCGGGCAGUGGAGCCAACAGUAACACCGGAUGCUGGGAUGCUGGGAGGAGGUCUGGAAGCAUCAGAGGAGAUGCCAGGGAACUUGGAGUCCAGAAGGCGGUAGUGGGUUCCUCUCUGGGGAUGAGUCCCAGUUUCCUCAACUUUGUCCAGACCCCUUGUCCUCAGGCUAAAACCUACUAUUUAUUGGAUAGAGCAUUAUCCUGGAAGCACUAAGAGAUUGGAGGAGAAGGUCCUGAGAAGAGCCAGAGGCCGGGUCUGCUUUGUGUCCUCGGCACCUACUUUCAGUCCAUGACACAUGAAAAGAGCUGGAGUCAGAAGGACCAGGUGACUCAGGGGUGAGGCUUGAACUGCUUAUGGAGCUGACCCACUACAGACUGGUGCCAUCUGUGAUGGAAUGUUAAGAAAGGGAGUUGGUAGAAUGAAUCCUUCUCUUUAGCAAAAACGUUUCCUGCUCUGGCAAUGCUGCGUUACAACGGCUGGAGGCCGCUCUCCAUAGAGACAUCUCCUCGGGGCAGUUCACAACCCAGCAGCCUGCCUUACCCAGAGGAGAAUCUGCCGACAGAGGAGAAUCUAUAGCAGAAUAGAAGACAGUCUGAUGUGGCACAACGUAGAGGUGAUAUCCCAGCACCUGUGCUAUACAGUGUUCUGCGGAUGGGAAGCAUGUCAAGGGUCCUGCCCGUACAAGGUAGCACUCCAGGACACAGACAGCUAAAGAUGGGAACGCCUGGGCUCCAUUUCACAGUUUGUCUGCCACAGGUAAUCCGUCAGAGGAGGAGAAGAACUAGAUGGACAGGCCAUAGAAUCCACACUGGGUUAGGAAGGCUGUGGAUAUCAAAGGCCCUGACAAGAGUGAAGAAUUGUGGGAAUAAGUCCAGUUUUUCAGCAGCCACCGCAGACACCCCUAAAAUGGAAGAAGCACGUACGUUAACAUAUCCAUCCCCUUCCUCGCCCCUGUACCUCUUCGCUCCUGUCAUACUCAAUGCACCCCAUCACAAGGUGCCAGGGCUAGAAAACGAGACCUAAGUCUUGGCUCAGGAGUUGUACCCCUGGGACCCCCACACCAGUUCCUGUGCCCUCUUCGUGUCUUCACUCUAAACCGCCGCUCUCUGAAUUUUGUACUUGUGGUAAAUCCCAUCAAUUGUUCGGACACUUGGGCACCAGGGAUGGAUGUACAGCCUCAGUCAGGGAAAAUGGUUUCUUUCUCAUGUCAGAAUGCUUUCUAUGAGACUUUCUGUGAGACCUAAAGUGCCCGCUCCUUCUGAUGAGGUCCGGGGAAUCACGGGGAACCAGGGCACACAGGUUCUCUCUCAUAUGCUCCAGCCAAAAUAGUGAAAAAGGCCUUCCUGAGAGGAGAAGGUCUUACAUGAUGAAGCUGGACGCUGUGCAGCUAUUUUUGAUGCCACCAACUGAAGCAUGCACCACGAGGUUCCUGACAAGGGAACGGCUGACCCGCAGGUCAAGCUGCUGUGGUCAAGCAUUUGUGGUUGGUAAUGGAAGACAAAACCACGCAGCAUUUCUCCAGCCCUGCUCUCUGAGCAGGUGUCUCUUCUGCCCUCUGAACACAGGAUCUCUGAGAAGCCAAGCUCUCUGUAACCCUCCUUUGGUGAUGUGGCCUUGGUGUUCGUUCUCUGAGCAGAGGACUGUGGCUGUGGAGCUCUGGAGUCAGUCCAUACUGGCUCACAAAAGCCGACUGUUAAAGUUUCCAGAACUCUGUGAGCCGGUUGUUAAGGACAUACAUCAUUUGAAAUUAAAUUACAUAAACUAACCAUUACCUCACACUCAAAACAAGGCCACCGACUGCUCAGAAUUCAUUUACCAGUUACUUAUUUUGUAUUUUCUGUGUACCUGUGCUCUUUAGGGUUACGAGCCUAACAGCAAGGGCAUGACAUGGAGAGUCAGUCACCAAGGGUCUCAUUCCCACUGAGAUCCAGGGACUUCACUUUGGCAGAUCCACACAGGCCGUAGAAGUCAGCACCUGCCCCAUAUUCUCUAGGAGCUGCAUGAUAAACACCCAUGCAUAGCUAGACUCCAGGGGCCUGGGGGAGACCCAUUAAGAUGACCACACCCUCCAGAAACUGCUCCUUCCCGGCCCUGGAUUUCCUAUCUUUGUGCAUU